CCUGGUUGAUCCUGCCAGUAAUCAUAUGCUUGUCAUAAAGAUUAAGCCAUGCAUGUCUAAGUACAUGCCGAAAUAAGGCGAAACCGCGAAUGGCUCAUUAAAUCAGUUAUGGUUCCUUAGAUCGUUUCUUCCUACUUGGAUAACUGUGGCAAUUCUAGAGCUAAUACAUGCAGUGAGCCUGGAGCCCUUUGGGUAACGGGUGCUUUUAUUAGACCAAGAUCGAUCGGGUUUCGGCCCGUAUUGUGUGGUGACUCUGGAUAACUUUGUGCUGAUCGCAUGGCCACGAGCCGGCGACGUUUCUUUCAAGUGUCUGCCUUAUCAACUUUCGAUGGUAGGUUACUUGCUUACCAUGGUUGUUACGGGUAACGGAGAAUCAGGGUUCGAUUCCGGAGAGGGAGCCUGAGAAACGGCUACCACACCAACCAAGGAAGGCAGCAGGCGCGCAAAUUACCCACUCCCGGCACGGGGAGGUAGUGACGAAAAAUAACAAUACGGGACUCUUUUGAGGCCCCGUAAUUGAAAUGAGUACACUCUAAAUCCUUUAACGAGGAUCAAUUGGAGGGCAAGUCUGGUGCCAGCAGCCGCGGUAAUUCCAGCUCCAAUAGCGUAUACUAAAGCUGCUGCGGUUAAAAAGCUCGUAGUUGGAUCUCAGUUCCAGACGAGUAGUGCAUCUACCCGAUGCGACGGCUCGGACUGAACAUCAUGCCGGUUCUUUCUUGGUGCACUUCAUUGUGUGCCUCGAGAUGGCCCCGGUGCUUCUUUUACUUUGAAAAAAUUAGAGUGCUCAACGCAGGCGAGUCGCCUGAAUAAACUUGCAUGGAAUAAUAGAACAAGACCUCGUUUCUGUUCUGUUGGUUUUUGGAAUACGAGGUAAUGAUUAAGAGGGACGGACGGGGGCAUUCGUAUUGCGGCGCUAGAGGUGAAAUUCUUGGACCGUCGCAAGACGAACUACUGCGAAAGCAUUUGCCAAGAAUGUUUUCAUUGAUCAAGAACGAAAGUCAGAGGUUCGAAGGCGAUCAGAUACCGCCCUAGUUCUGACCAUAAACGAUGCCAACCAGCGAUCCGCCUGAGUUACUCAAAUGACUCGGCGGGCAGCUUCCGGGAAACCAAAGUAUUUGGGUUCCGGGGGAAGUAUGGUUGCAAAGCUGAAACUUAAAGGAAUUGACGGAAGGGCACCACCAGGAGUGGAGCCUGCGGCUUAAUUUGACUCAACACGGGAAAACUUACCCGGCCCGGACACUGGGAGGAUUGACAGAUUGAGAGCUCUUUCUUGAUUCGGUGGAUGGUGGUGCAUGGCCGUUCUUAGUUGGUGGAGCGAUUUGUCUGGUUAAUUCCGAUAACGAACGAGACUCUAGCCUAUUAAAUAGGUGCGGGGUUCCCAGCACCUUACAACCUUCUUAGAGGGACAAGCGGCUCCUAGCCGCACGAAACAGAGCAAUAACAGGUCUGUGAUGCCCUUAGAUGUCCGGGGCCGCACGCGCGCUACACUGAAGGAAGCAGCGUGUCUUUAUCCCUGUCUGAAAAGACUGGGUAACCCGUGGAACUUCUUUCGUGAUUGGGAUAGGGGCUUGCAAUUGUUCCCCUUGAACGAGGAAUUCCCAGUAAGCGCGAGUCAUAAGCUCGCGUUGAUUACGUCCCUGCCCUUUGUACACACCGCCCGUCGCUACUACCGAUUGU
rnacentral:rRNA from 1 species